rnacentral:ncRNA from 1 species
UGGUGUGGCGUGGGAAAUAGUUGACGAAGGCCGCGCCGCGCGCCUGGUCGAUGGUGUGGAACAGCGGGUUCCAGGUGAAAUAGGGCAAGAGGAAUCCCGGCAGCUGGUUGACCACGAACAUCUUGCCGCUCGAGAUCAUGUUGGCGCGC